rnacentral:rRNA from 1 species
CCUACGGGAGGCAGCAGUGGGGAAUUUUGGACAAUGGGGGCAACCCUGAUCCAGCCAUGCCGCGUGAUUGAAGAAGGUCUUCGGGUUGUAAAGCUCUUUCGGCCGGGAAGAAAUCGCAUCAAUUAAUACCUGGUGUGGAUGACGGUACCGGAAUAAUAAGCACCG